GGGGGCGAAACGGCUUCGACGGGGACGAGCACGCGAAAGGUUGCAUGCCGAGGCCUCACCUACCUCGUUAAAAGGUGAAAAAUGAUAGCUGCCAAUAACAGCAAUCUCGCUCUCGCUGCGUAAUUAACGCGCAGUGACGAUGUCGCAGGAGCGCACUCGACGCGCCUGCGCCGUCGACGCCAAAUUCGGGUGUAGCCGGUCCGGACCCCCGGACGGACCGGCGAAAUCAAUCCGGGGUUGUCUUGCCGCUGUUUUGCCUCUUCUUGAGGCGGCCGGACGAGAACCAAGAAGGGGCUGAGCAUGGAGUGGCCUCUCCCGUGACGCUUCCGGACGCGGGUUCAACUCCCGCCGCCUCCACCA
rnacentral:tmRNA from 1 species